UACGUAGGGCGCAAGCGUCGUCCGGAAUUAUUGGGCGUAAAGAGCUCGUAGGCGGUUUGUCGCGUCUGUCGUGAAAGCUUGGGGCUUAACCCCAAGUCUGCGGUGGAUACGGGCAGACUAGAGGCAGGUAGGGGAGAACGGAAUUCCCGGUGUAGCGGUGAAAUGCGCAGAUAUCGGGAGGAACACCGGUGGCGAAGGCGGUUCUCUGGGCCUGUACUGACGCUGAGGAGCGAAAGCGUGGGGAGCAAACGGG
rnacentral:rRNA from 1 species